GACAACGUGGCCGAGUGGUUAAGGCGACGGACUUGAAAUCCGUUUCCCUCUGGGAGCGCAGGUUCAAACCCUGCCGUUGUCG